ACUUCCCGCUCCGCCUGCAGAACCGCCAGGUCAGGACCCCGGGGACCCAGUUCCGGGGAGGCCGAGUCAGAGUUGCUCGAGGUCCCCACCGGCUCAGGCCUCUGCGCCUCGUCUGCCUCGGGAAUGGGCUUCGCCUGGGGUCGUCCGCGGCCCGCGCCCCGCUCUAAGGCUGGUGUUGUAGACUGAGGCACAAGGAGGGGAAACCGGCUAACCAGAGACCCCGCCAACUUUUUCCCUCUCACCUGAGCGCCGCCGCCCUGCGCUCCCCGCGGCCCGAGCGGUAAUUGUGCAGAGCCCCCUGAAUGUCCUCUCGGAUCAGCUCCGCCUGCCAAUCACACCGUCAGGCCACGCCUCCCCACGCCGCACCCACUUCCUACCCGGGCCUCAUCCCUGGCCGAUUUUUCAGCUCAGUCCCAGCCCACGUGCGGCCACCGUCCACGCCCUGGACUCACCCCUCGCCCUACACCUGUCCCUGCCCUAAGCCACGACCCCGCCCAUGGAGACCCAGUCCGGGUGGUUCCUCGCCCCCAUCCUCGUCCUGGCUGGCCCCCCAGACCCUUCUUGGCCAUGUUCUGUUCAUGUCCUCAUCCCACCUUCGUGUUCUAUCUUGACCCUGGGUCCAAUCUCAAACCCCGCUGCCUUCCAGAACUUCCUUCCCAGGUCCCCUGCCCUUCCUUGCUCUGAUCCCGCCUUAGCCCCAGGCCCCGCCCCACCUAGAGGCCCCACCCAUUUCCGCCCCGGCUCCAGGCUCCGCCCCGUUCCAGCUCCACCCCCAGAGCCAGCCCGUUCGCUCACCCCGAGGCGCAGGCCCUGGAAGAAGUGCACGUCGGGCUGGGCGCGCUCGGGUUCCUGGCACACGAGCAGCAGCAACGAGCGGCUCCUGCCGGGUGGCAUCACCGCGUCACAGCGCACGAUGGCGCCCAGUGGGUACGACUCCAGCUCCUCCUGCGGGGUGGGAUGGCGGGGUAAACUGAGGCCCCGAAAUGAUGAUACUACUAAAUGGCGACGGGAGUGUGGGCCAGCAGGUCAGGGCAACCUCACGCGGUUAGGGGGUUAGGGAUAACACCCCUGUUUAAUAGAUGAGGCUAUUAAGGCUCAAGAAGGGGGCUGGGGUCCCUCACCAGAGUUCCCAGAGGAAGGACGUGCAGUAGCCAAGAUUCGCACCCAGACCCCCUGAAGUCCCUGCCCCAGACACUCCUCCCACCCAUGUGCCCCCUGGCACCUUGGAGGCCGGGUCGAGCAGCGUGACGUGGUCGGGAGACACUCGCAGCAGCAUCUCCUGUGCCCAGACUCGGCCCUGGCUAUCCAUGACGGCCAGCUUCCUGGAGGCAUCCUCCACAGUGUGCACGCCAUCAUCCUCACCCAGGCAGAACGUCACCAGGUGCUGGUACGGACCACGGAGAAAGCAGUGAGGCCCAAGAUGAUGCCAGGUGGGCUCAGAAUCCCCCGGAAUAAUCAGACUUUCAGCCUGAGACUAACCACACCUCCUCCAGGAAGCCUUCCUUGAUCACCUGUUCCACAAAUCAGCUCCUCCUCCCAGUGCCCUUUGUUUCCCUUCCAUCAGAGUGACUAGCAUCUGAGUCUGGCUUCUCACAGACUGGAGGCUCCUUGUGGGCAGGGAAGGAGUCUGGAUUAUAGCUCUCUCCUUCUAAAUGCCUCCUGGGGUCUCCUGCUGUGCCCCCUACCACCUCCAUUAGAGCACCAGGCGCCUCCUUGGGUUCCUCUGGACCUUGUCUACCCUCUCCUCAUGCAGGGCUCUGUCUUGAUUUGUCUCCGUGGUCCCACUGUCCAGCACCACAGCUGGCCGGGAGGAAAGGCUGGCAGAUUUGAGUGGACCCGAGGCCCCUGACUUCAUAUCCAUGACUGAGAUGAGGCAACGGAGGUCCAUUUUAUGGAUGGGCAAACUGACUUUCCACAUGCUUCCUGCUUGGGGGCCCAGCUGCUUUCAAAAGCCCUAUCUCCUGAGGCCACCUUUGUCCCAGAAGAUGUCCUGGGGCAGACCCCAGACUCACAUUGACUGGGUACUGGGAUACAUCAGCCAUAACAACUGUGGAGUAACGCUUCCUCUGCUCUGCCAGGGGAGAAGGAGAAUGAGCCUGGGAGUCCAGGCCCAGCCCCUCCUCCCUCAGACCCAGGAGUCCAGGUCCCCAGCCCCUCCUCCCUCAGACCUAGGAGUCCAGCCCCCCAGCCCCUCUUCCCUCUGACCCAGGAGUCCAGACCCUCAGCACCUCUUCCCUCUGACUCGGGAGUCCAGACCCCCAGCCCCUCCUCCCUCUGACUCGGGAGUCCAGACCCCCAGCCCCUCCUCCCUCAGACCCAGGAGUCCAGGCCCCCAGCCCCUCCUCCCUCAGACCCAGGAGUCCAGGCCCCCAGCCCCUCCUCCCUCAGACCCAGGAGUCCAGGCCCCCAGCCCCUCCUCCCUCAGACCCAGGAGUCCAGGCCCCCAGCCCCUCCUCCUCCAAGACCCUGGAUGCCAGGUCCUGUUUCUUUAGACCCAGUUCUAUGGGCCUGGGGCUCCCUUGCCCCCCACUCACCAUAGAUAGACUUGGCGCUUGGCUUCGGGGCAGCUUCUGGGCUGGUGAAGAAAAGAGGAAUGAGAGAGACUGUGGAAUUGGGGGCAGAUCCUGUGGAAAUGCCAAGCAGGGCAGCAAGGGCUUCAUUACGAAGGUAACGGGGAGCGACGGAAUGGUUAUUAUUGUUAUUAUUGAGCAGGAGAGCUCAGAGCCAGAGCUGGACUUUAAGAAGACAGGUGUGCCGGGCGCGGUGGCUCACGCCCUUAAUCCCAGCACUUUGGGAGGCAGAGGCAGGCGGAUCACAAAGUCAAGAGAUCGAGACCAUCUUGGCCAACGUGGUGAAGCCCUGUCUCUACUAAAAAUACAAAAGUUAGCUGGGUGUGGUGGCGUGCGCCUGUAGUCCCAGCUAUGUGGGAGGCUGAGGCAGGAGAAUCACUUGAACCUAGGAGGCGGAGGUUGCAGUGAGUCGAGAUUGUGCCACUGCACUCCAGCCUGGCAGCAGAGUGAGACCCCAUCUCAAAAAAAAAAAAAAAAAAAGACAGGUCAGGUCAGGCGGUGGUGCUGGGUGGUAGGGGAGUGUGAUCUCUACCAUGGCACAGUCCUGGAUUCAAACCCUCUGUGCACUGCCUCCUUGCCAUAAGACUUUGAGGAGGAGACUUAAUCUCUCCUACCUCAGUUUCUCUUUCUGUAACAUAGUAACCAUCUGAUAGGGCUGUUGGGCAAAUUCAAUCAGAUGAUGGAGGUGAAGUAUUUUGAAGCCUCAAUAACUGUUAUUAUCAUUCUUAAGAUGCUGCCAGGGCUUAGCACACAGAAGUUGCUCAAUAAAUGGGAAUGGUUACAA